rnacentral:rRNA from 1 species
UGGGGAAUAUUGCACAAUGGGCGGAAGCCUGAUGCAGCAACGCCGCGUGCGGGAUGACGGCCUUCGGGUUGUAAACCGCUUUCGCCCGUGACGAAGCGUGAGUGACGGUAAUGGGUAAAGAAGCACCGGCUAACUACGUGCCAGCAGCCGCGGUGAUACGUAGGGUGCGAGCGUUGUCCGGAUUUAUUGGGCGUAAAGGGCUCGUAGGUGGUUGAUCGCGUCGGAAGUGUAAUCUUGGGGCUUAACCCUGAGCGUGCUUUCGAUACGGGUUGACUUGAGGAAGGUAGGGGAGAAUGGAAUUCCUGGUGGAGCGGUGGAAUGCGCAGAUAUCAGGAGGAACACCAGUGGCGAAGGCGGUUCUCUGGGCCUUUCCUGACGCUGAGGAGCGAAAGCGUGGGGAGCGAACA